ensembl:snoRNA SNORA71 Small nucleolar RNA SNORA71
CCCUGCAUUCGUAAGUGAUCAGGGGGUGCCCGUCCCCUGGUCAUUGGUAGUGCAGGCAGAGGAAAAAUGGGAAGAAUUAUCCUAUGUUUGGAGGGUAUGCUUGCCUUCCAGUUCUAGGAGCUUUCCCACA